UACGAAGGGGGCGAGCGUUGUUCGGAAUCACUGGGCGUAAAGGGCGUGUAGGCGGUCCGCUAAGUCUGAUGUGAAAGCCCCGGGGCUCACCCCCCGGAAGUGCAUUGGAAACUGGCGAACUCGAGUCCCGGAGAGGAGAGUGGAAUUCCUGGUGUAGCGGUGAAAUGCGUAGAUAUCAGGAGGAACACCGGUGGCGAAGGCGGCCGGCUGGGGGUGACCUGACGCUGGAGGCGACGAAAGCGUGGGGAGCGAACCGG
rnacentral:rRNA from 1 species